rnacentral:lncRNA from 1 species
GUUUUGUAUAAUGAGUUGGGGGUUGAUCUUAGCGAGUUUAAGAAAGGCAUGCUGACACUUUCAGACCCGGACAUACUGGACAUUAGGCAGUUGAAGCACUGGUUGACUACUAGUUUCCGGCUGGAUCCUGAAGUAUGUUCUGUGAGUAUUCAUGCAUUGUGGACCAAAUCCUGUAAAAUUGUCAAGUGGGAGUUGAUGCCGAUAGAUAGGAGCC